rnacentral:rRNA from 1 species
UACGUAGGGACCAAGCGUUGUUCGGAUUUACUGGGCGUAAAGGGCGCGUAGGCGGCAAUUCAAGUCAUCUGUGAAAUCUCCGGGCUUAACCCGGAACGGUCAGGUGAUACUGUUUUGCUAGAGUGCGGAAGGGGCAAUCGGAAUUCUCGGUGUAGCGGUGAAAUGCGUAGAUAUCAGGAGGAACACCGGUGGCGAAGGCGGGUCUCUGGGCCGAUACUGACGCUGAGGAGCGAAAGCGUGGGGAGCGAACAGG